rnacentral:rRNA from 1 species
GACAGAGGGUGCAAACGUUGUUCGGAAUCACUGGGCGUAAAGGGUGCGUAGGCGGGUUCUUAAGUCAGAGGUGAAAUCCUGGAGCUCAACUCCAGAACUGCCUUUGAUACUGAGAGUCUUGAGUCCGGAAGAGGAGAGUGGAAUUCCUGGUGUAGCGGUGAAAUGCGCAGAUAUCAGGAAGAACACCCGUGGCGAAGGCGGCUCUCUGGUACGUGACUGACGCUGAGACGCGAAAGCGUGGGGAGCGAAGCAGG